AGAUACCUACGGGGCGCAGCAGUGGGGAAUAUUGGACAAUGGGGGGAACCCUGAUCCAGCGACGCCGCGUGAGUGAAGAAGUAUUUCGGUAUGUAAAGCUCUAUCAGCAGGGAAGAAAGAAAUGACGGUACCUGACUAAGAAGCCCCGGCUAACUACGUGCCAGCAGCCGCGGUAAUACGUAGGGGGCAAGCGUUAUCCGGAUUUACUGGGUGUAAAGGGAGCGUAGACGGCAGUGCAAGUCUGGAGUGAAAGGCGGGGGCUCAACCCCCGGACUGCUCUGGAAACUGUACGGCUGGAGUGCAGG
rnacentral:rRNA from 1 species